UGUCAAAAUCUGUCAAAAGUGGAUAUAAUGAUUUGGUGUUCACAUGUGGAUUCGUGAUAUGAGGUUGUAACAAGGAAUUUUGAAGAGCGCGCGUAACGAAACCUUAAAUUUAUCUCUUUCUUAAUCCGCGGAUUAUAUUGGCCAAUUGAUCAUUCGAUUGGUUUUGAUCUCGUUAGUAUUCUUAUUUGAAAUUCCUUGUUGAAAGCUCAUUUUCUUCGGCUAUAUUCACAAAGUGAAUAUUCUCAGGGUACAGACAUGCGACAAAAAAAUAUUCUACGGCCGUAUAUAUUCACAAUAUGUACAAUUCAUUGGACGCAUUAUAAUGACAUCCACACACUGGAUUCCCGGGAAUAAUCCGUGGUAUGCCAUUCAUGCUUUCAAGUCAGCGGCAGAAAAUAUGCCUAGCGAUUUUCCCUGCGAGUCAGAAACCUCGUAGGAGCUAGUACCGACUUUCCUGACGAUGGUACACGGCGUAUACUGAGGCCCCAGUUUUGCGUUGAACUGGUCUCCAGCGGACGACUGACGGAAGCUUCGUUUGUAUACGCGUUGACCCACAUCGAACGACGGAAUAGACGUCACGUUGGCAGCUAGCAUCGCCGUUCUGCAGUCUGCCCUGGUGUUUCGGAACAGCACUUCAAAUUUUCUGGCAUCGUCCCACUGCCUGGACAUACUCCGGAAAAUUCUAACCAUGUCCAAGUAGAAAUCUUGAAAUUUCUCUCUUGGACCCUGUCGUCGCGUAUUCGCCAAUCGCUCAUACUGAAAGUCAAUAUCAUCAGCUUUCAACAAACCGCGCAAUGUUCUCUCCCGUUUGGAACGAUUCUCAUCGAGCAUAUUCACAUCACGGAUUUGUAAUUCAUGGUCUAAUUCGUCAUCAGCCAGAUGAGCAGUGAUCAACGCGUAAUACUGCGACUGCAGACGAGAUUGCUCCAUCGCGAAUGCUUUUAGAAAAUUAGAAAAUUAAAAAGAACUACCUAGUGAAACG